UCUAAGAUGUCGGGAGGUUCUAAAAUUCUGAAUUUAAAUUAUCUGUGUGUUUCAGAGAUUUGGGCAGGAGAAAGGGAGGAGCCCAGCUUCUGUGAACACCUCUGUUACCUCCUUGACCACAGAACAGGAAUCGUAGAAGGAUGAUAGAAGGUCUGAGAAGCACUCUCCACUCCAAGGGUGAGACCAGAAGGUGAAGCUCCUCCCCCUUAGAGCAUUACUUUUUGGAUCUUAAAAUUGCCUUGGAACUGUGGGAAACCAUUGCAUUUCCUAAAGCCCAAGUCUGAGAAGGUCUGAGAGAGCAGCGGACCUUGCCAGGAGCCAGGAACAGCACCGGAGGAGCUGGAGUGGGUGUGCCGGCCUUAGGUCAAAGGUGCCUUUUCAUCCCCACCUGACAACACUUCCCCACUCUGGCUCCACGAGACCCAGUUUUGAAAUCAGCCUCUGAGUCAGUCAUGCAGCUGGUUCCAGGACGUCAGCCUUCAGAGAAAGCAGCAGGACACUACUCUUCUUUAAGACGGGAGGCUGGAAAAAGGACCGUGUUGACAAGUCAUGUUCCAG